rnacentral:misc_RNA from 1 species
GAAAUGCGAUAAGUAAUGUGAAUUGCAGAAUUCAGUGAAUCAUCGAAUCUUUGAACGCACAUUGCGCCCUCUGGUAUUCCGGGGGGCAUGCCUGUUCGAGCGUCAUUAUAACCACUCAAGCUCUUGCUUGGUAUUGGGGUUCGCGGUCUCGCGGCCCCUAAAAUCAGUGGCGGUGCCUGUCGGCUCUACGCGUAGUAAUACUCCUCGCGAUUGGGUCCGGCAGGUCUACUUGCCAACAACCCCCAAAUAUUUUACAGGUUGACCUCGGAUCAGGUAGGGAUACCCGCUGAACUUAA